rnacentral:rRNA from 1 species
CCUACGGGAGGCAGCAGUGGGGAAUAUUGCACAAUGGGGGACACCCUGAUGCAGCGACGCCGCGUGAGUGAAGAAGUAUUUCGGUAUGUAAAGCUCUAUCAGCAGGGAAGAAAUAGCGACCUUUGGGUCGCCAGACGGUACCUGAUUAAGAAGCCCCGGCUAACUACGUGCCAGCAGCCGUGGUAAUACGUAGGGGGCAAGCGUUAUCCGGAUUUACUGGGUGUAAAGGGAGCGUAGACGGCAGCGCAAGGCUGAAGUGAAAUGCCGGGGCUUAACCCCGGAACUGCUUUGGAAACUGUGCAGCUAGAGUGCAGGAGAUGUAAGUGGAAUUCCUAGGGUAGCGGUGAAAGGCGGUGAUAUUAGGAGGAACACCAGUGGCGAAGGCGGCUUACUGGACUGUAACUGACGUUGAGGCUCGAAAGCGUGGGGAGCAAACAGGAUUAGAUACCCGGGUAGUC